rnacentral:rRNA from 1 species
UACGUAGGGGGCUAGCGUUGUCCGGAUUUAUUGGGCGUAAAGAGCGUGUAGGCGGCCGGGUAAGUCCGGUGUGAAAACUCGAGGCUCAACCUCGAGAUGUCGAUGGAAACCGUCUGGCUAGAGUCCGGAAGAGGAGUGUGGAAUUCCUGGUGUAGCGGUGAAAUGCGCAGAUAUCAGGAAGAACACCUAUGGCGAAGGCAGCACUCUGGGACGGUACUGACGCUGAGACGCGAAAGCGUGGGGAGCGAACAGG